rnacentral:rRNA from 1 species
GGGUUGUGAGGUUAAGCGACUAAGCGUACACGGUGGAUGCCCUGGCAGUCAGAGGCGAUGAAGGACGUGCUAAUCUGCGAUAAGCGUCGGUAAGGUGAUAUGAACCGUUAUAACCGGCGAUUUCCGAAUGGGGAAACCCAGUGUGUUUCGACACACUAUCAUUAACUGAAUCCAUAGGUUAAUGAGGCGAACCGGGGGAACUGAAACAUCUAAGUACCCCGAGGAAAAGAAAUCAACCGAGAUUCCCCCAGUAGCGGCGAGCGAACGGGGAGCAGCCCAGAGCCUGAAUCAGUGUGUGUGUUAGUGGAAGCGUCUGGAAAGGCGUGCGAUACAGGGUGACAGCCCCGUACACAAAAAUGCACAUGCUGUGAGCUCGAUGAGUAGGGCGGGACACGUGGUAUCCUGUCUGAAUAUGGGGGGACCAUCCUCCAAGGCUAAAUACUCCUGACUGACCGAUAGUGAACCAGUACCGUGAGGGAAAGGCGAAAAGAACCCCGGCGAGGGGAGUGAAAAAGAACCUGAAACCGUGUACGUACAAGCAGUGGGAGCACGCUUAGGCGUGUGACUGCGUACCUUUUGUAUAAUGGGUCAGCGACUUAUAUUCUGUAGCAAGGUUAACCGAAUAGGGGAGCCGAAGGGAAACCGAGUCUUAACUGGGCGUUAAGUUGCAGGGUAUAGACCCGAAACCCGGUGAUCUAGCCAUGGGCAGGUUGAAGGUUGGGUAACACUAACUGGAGGACCGAACCGACUAAUGUUGAAAAAUUAGCGGAUGACUUGUGGCUGGGGGUGAAAGGCCAAUCAAACCGGGAGAUAGCUGGUUCUCCCCGAAAGCUAUUUAGGUAGCGCCUCGUGAAUUCAUCUCCGGGGGUAGAGCACUGUUUCGGCAAGGGGGUCAUCCCGACUUACCAACCCGAUGCAAACUGCGAAUACCGGAGAAUGUUAUCACGGGAGACACACGGCGGGUGCUAACGUCCGUCGUGAAGAGGGAAACAACCCAGACCGCCAGCUAAGGUCCCAAAGUCAUGGUUAAGUGGGAAACGAUGUGGGAAGGCCCAGACAGCCAGGAUGUUGGCUUAGAAGCAGCCAUCAUUUAAAGAAAGCGUAAUAGCUCACUGGUCGAGUCGGCCUGCGCGGAAGAUGUAACGGGGCUAAACCAUGCACCGAAGCUGCGGCAGCGNNNNNNNNNGUUGUUGGGUAGGGGAGCGUUCUGUAAGCCUGCGAAGGUGUGCUGUGAGGCAUGCUGGAGGUAUCAGAAGUGCGAAUGCUGACAUAAGUAACGAUAAAGCGGGUGAAAAGCCCGCUCGCCGGAAGACCAAGGGUUCCUGUCCAACGUUAAUCGGGGCAGGGUGAGUCGACCCCUAAGGCGAGGCCGAAAGGCGUAGUCGAUGGGAAACAGGUUAAUAUUCCUGUACUUGGUGUUACUGCGAAGGGGGGGACGGAGAAGGCUAUGUUGGCCGGGCGACGGUUGUCCCGGUUUAAGCGUGUAGGCUGGUUUUCCAGGCAAAUCCGGAAAAUCAAGGCUGAGGCGUGAUGACGAGGCACUACGGUGCUGAAGCAACAAAUGCCCUGCUUCCAGGAAAAGCCUCUAAGCAUCAGGUAACAUCAAAUCGUACCCCAAACCGACACAGGUGGUCAGGUAGAGAAUACCAAGGCGCUUGAGAGAACUCGGGUGAAGGAACUAGGCAAAAUGGUGCCGUAACUUCGGGAGAAGGCACGCUGAUAUGUAGGUGAAGCGACUUGCUCGUGGAGCUGAAAUCAGUCGAAGAUACCAGCUGGCUGCAACUGUUUAUUAAAAACACAGCACUGUGCAAACACGAAAGUGGACGUAUACGGUGUGACGCCUGCCCGGUGCCGGAAGGUUAAUUGAUGGGGUUAGCCGCAAGGCGAAGCUCUUGAUCGAAGCCCCGGUAAACGGCGGCCGUAACUAUAACGGUCCUAAGGUAGCGAAAUUCCUUGUCGGGUAAGUUCCGACCUGCACGAAUGGCGUAAUGAUGGCCAGGCUGUCUCCACCCGAGACUCAGUGAAAUUGAACUCGCUGUGAAGAUGCAGUGUACCCGCGGCAAGACGGAAAGACCCCGUGAACCUUUACUAUAGCUUGACACUGAACAUUGAGCCUUGAUGUGUAGGAUAGGUGGGAGGCUUUGAAGUGUGGACGCCAGUCUGCAUGGAGCCGACCUUGAAAUACCACCCUUUAAUGUUUGAUGUUCUAACGUUGACCCGUAAUCCGGGUUGCGGACAGUGUCUGGUGGGUAGUUUGACUGGGGCGGUCUCCUCCUAAAGAGUAACGGAGGAGCACGAAGGUUGGCUAAUCCUGGUCGGACAUCAGGAGGUUAGUGCAAUGGCAUAAGCCAGCUUGACUGCGAGCGUGACGGCGCGAGCAGGUGCGAAAGCAGGUCAUAGUGAUCCGGUGGUUCUGAAUGGAAGGGCCAUCGCUCAACGGAUAAAAGGUACUCCGGGGAUAACAGGCUGAUACCGCCCAAGAGUUCAUAUCGACGGCGGUGUUUGGCACCUCGAUGUCGGCUCAUCACAUCCUGGGGCUGAAGUAGGUCCCAAGGGUAUGGCUGUUCGCCAUUUAAAGUGGUACGCGAGCUGGGUUUAGAACGUCGUGAGACAGUUCGGUCCCUAUCUGCCGUGGGCGCUGGAGAACUGAGGGGGGCUGCUCCUAGUACGAGAGGACCGGAGUGGACGCAUCACUGGUGUUCGGGUUGUCAUGCCAAUGGCACUGCCCGGUAGCUAAAUGCGGAAGAGAUAAGUGCUGAAAGCAUCUAAGCACGAAACUUGCCCCGAGAUGAGUUCUCCCUGACUCCUUGAGAGUCCUGAAGGAACGUUGAAGACGACGACGUUGAUAGGCCGGGUGUGUAAGCGCAGCGAUGCGUUGAGCUAACCGGUACUAAUGAACCGUGAGGCUUAACCUUACAACGCCGAAG